rnacentral:tRNA from 1 species
GCCUGGGUGGCUCAGUCAGUUAAGCGUCUGACUUUAGGUCAGAUCAUGAUCUCACAGCUUGUGAGUUCAAGCCUCCCAUCGGGCU